AGUGCUUAUUGCGUUAACUCCGGCACCGACAAUCUCUUGCCGACACCUAGCACUCAUCGUUUACAGCGUGGACUACCAGGGUAUCUAAUCCUGUUUGCUCCCCACGCUUUCGUACCUCAGCGUCAGUUAUAGUCCAGUAAGUCGCCUUCGCCACUGGUGUUCCUCCUAAUAUCUACGCAUUUCACCGCUACACUAGGAAUUCCACUUACCUCUCCUAUACUCAAGUCUCACAGUUUCAAAUGCUUACAUUGGUUGAGCCAAUGCCUUUUACACCUGACUUAUGAAACCGCCUGCGUACCCUUUACGCCCAGUAAUUCCGGACAACGCUCGCCCCCUAC
rnacentral:rRNA from 1 species